rnacentral:lncRNA from 1 species
GGGCAAACACACAGCUCCCUGACAUGCACUGGCGGGUCAUUUCAUUAUCCUAUAGAACUGGCUGGUCCCUCCAAACUCUGCAGAUGCUCUUUAAUGUUGGAAUUCCAUCCCUAAAAUACUCCAGCCAGCCAGGUGAGCUAUGAUUUAACUCUUGACGUGAGUUUAAAAGAUCUAAUCUACACACCAUACACAGCUACACAGUUAUUUUUGGUUUCUGGCUUCUGUGCCCCUGAUUUUCCCAGACUCCUCAUCUUCCUCAACCCCCCCCCCCCCCAGUCUGAAGGACUGAUUCUCAUGUGCUCUGUGGAGAAAGUACAAGGCUUUGAUGCUGAUCCUGCUUGACUUGUGUGAUUCUGAAAACUUCACUUCUCUUAUUCAGAACCUUUACGGUAACCCACAUCCCCAUCUUGUUAAUAUCAGUACUUUGACCUUGUAACUUUACCAGCACCCCUCAGGAACUGGAAAAUUUGCCAAUUUCUACUGUGUUGCUGUGGUUCUAUUUCCUGUGGGUAAACAUUUUGCCUAUCUAGAUUUCUAGAUACUGACUGCAUUUUCUUUUGUCAUCCUUAUUCAAAAAAAUAAAAUAAAAUCCAGUGUCUGAUAAAAGCUGACACGUCAGGCUUUUGUUUCGCUCUUUAUAGUGAAGUUUUGAGUUCUCAGCAAAACUUUAAAAAAGAUAAAGAUUUCCUGUACACUCUGCCCCACGCACCUGCUGAAACUGUACCAUUGUCGUCCCUCCCACCAGAACAGUAUGCUUCUUAUGAUGGGUCUUGGGUACUGAAUAGUCACCAGAAGUCUCCAGUUUACAGUAGCGUUCACUCUUGGUGCUUCGAAGCCCGUGUGUGUGUGUGUGUGUGUGUGUGUGUGUGUGUGUGUGCAUGUAUUGAUAUGUAGUGACAUGCACCCAGCCUUAAAACAUGGACAGUAGUUUCACUCCCCUAAAAAUCCCCUGCUCAGCUCUUGGUCCUGUACUCUCACCUCACCCUUGGCAGCCACUGAUAUUUUUACCAACCCAUAGUUUUACUUUCCAGCUGUGACAGUUAGAAUCAGACAAUCCAGAAUCCUUCCAGGUUAGGUUCCCUCUCUAGCAACAGACGUGAGGCUCUUUGUGUCUUAAUGACUUGAGCACAUUUCCUUUUAGAGCCGAACAAUAUUUCAGUUGUCUAGAUAUGCCACAGUUUAUCCAUUCCCAAGUUUAUAAAUUAUGAAUAAAACUACAAUAAAUAAUUAUGUACAGAUUUUUUUGCAAAUACAUGUUUUUAACUUCUUUGUGUAAAUAGCAGUGUACAGUUGCUGGGUUGUAUGUUAAAGGCCACAUCCCGGAUUUUGUUGGGUGUGCUGUUGCUUUGUUCAGAUGGAGUCUAAUUCUAGAGCCAAGGAUGGUGCCCUGAAGCUCACAGUGUACCCCAGGCUGGCCUGUAACCCCAGAGGAGCCUCCUGCCUCAGUUUGCUCAGUGCUGGGAUCCCAGGUGUGAACCCCCAAACUUGGCUGGGCUAUGACUUAGAGCUAGAGCAGAUUUCUGAACAGGCUUGUGGCUCUCCUCCCCAUGAUGAGAGAGGAAGAGGAGACAUUGAGCAAGAGAGCUAUCUCUGUUCUCAUUAAUAUGCAAUAUUAUCUUACCCUUAUUUCAUUAUAUCAGUUUUUGAUGUUUUCUAGUGCCUGGAACUACAUCAUCCAUAAUGUAAGAAAGCAAGGAUCACUAUUAGUGACAGUACCAAGUCUCCAAGAGUCUCUCAUGGGGCUACAGGUAUGUAGCUACGUUUCCUACUGUUGAUUGGUUGGUUGGUUGAUUGGUUGGUUAGUUGGUUGGUUAGUUGGUUGGUUGGUUGGUUGGUUGAUUUGGGUGGUGGCAAGAAUUAUGGCUCUUGAGCUGGGUGUGGUAGCACGGGCCUUUAAAUCCAGCACCCAGGAGUGAGAGGCAGGUAGAUCUCUGAUUUUGAAGCUGGCCUGGCCUAUAGAGAGAGUACUAGGAUAGCCAAGGUUACACAGAAAAAAAU